CUAGCGUUGCUCGGAAUCACUGGGCGUAAAGCGCACGUAGGCGGAUAUUUAAGUCGGUGGUGAAAUCCUGGAGCUCAACUCCAGAACUGCCUCCGAUACUGAAUGUCUUCGAGUCCGGGAGAGGUGAGUGGAACUGCGAGUGUAGAGGUGAAAUUCGUAGAUAUUCGCAAGAACACCAGUGGCGAAGGCGGCUCACUGGCCCGGUACUGACGCUGAGGUGCGAAAGCGUGGGGAGCGAACAGG
rnacentral:rRNA from 1 species